GGACGAAGGCACAGAGAACAAACAGGAUUAGAUACCCAAGUAGUCUUUGCAGUAAAUGAUGAAUGCCAUAGGUUAGAUGGGUCAAUUAUAGUUUAGGGUUAGUCUAGCAAAGUAAUACCGUAUGCUAUAAUUCCUAAUAUCUGGUCUAUAAAUGAAAGUGUAAGCAUUUCACCUCAAGAGUAAUGUGGCAACGCAGGAA
rnacentral:rRNA from 1 species